rnacentral:rRNA from 1 species
UACGUAGGGGGCGAGCGUUGUUCGGAAUUACUGGGCGUAAAGGGCGUGUAGGCGGUGCGGUAAGUCGGGCGUGAAAUCCCCGGGCUCAACCCGGGGCGGUCGUUCGAAACUGCCGUGCUAGAGUGCAGGAGAGGGAAGUGGAAUUCCCGGUGUAGCGGUGAAAUGCGCAGAUAUCAGGAGGAACACCGAUGGCGAAGGCAGGUCUCUGGGCCACUACUGACGCUGAGAAGCGAAAGCGUGGGGAGCGAACAGG